CGUGGACUUCAUUUUGCAGGUGCUCGUUCUCGACGACAGGCGAUGAGGAAGUUGGCCACAACAGAUUGGCACACCAGGUAGGGGAGAAAGACAACUCGUGAUGAUGAAAAUCAGAGCUUAAUGAUCAACAGUGAUCGGAUCGACGAGACACUCUUCCCAUCGGAAAGAGGCUCCUUCUCUCUCUCCGAUAGCAGAGCCC
rnacentral:lncRNA from 1 species